UAUAGCUCAGUGGUAGAGUGUGUGCUUAGCAUGCAUGAGGUCCUGGUUUCAAUCCCCAGUA
rnacentral:tRNA from 1 species